rnacentral:rRNA from 1 species
AAGUUGAACGAUGAGGUCAUUUCGGUGACACAUCAGUGGCGGACGGGUGAGUAACGCGUAGGUAAUCUGGCCUUAGGAGGGGGAUAACAUUGGGAAACUGGUGCUAAUACCCCAUAGGUUGCGAUCAGAGAUGGUUGUAAUUAAAGUUCCGGCGCCUGAGGAUGAGCCUGCGUCUGAUUAGCUAGUUGGUGAGGUAAGAGCUUACCAAGGCGACGAUCAGUAGCUGGUCUGAGAGGAUGAUCAGCCACAAUGGGACUGAGACACGGCCCAUACUCCUACGGGAGGCAGCAGUAGGGAAUUUUGCGCAAUGGGCGAAAGCCUGACGCAGCAACGCCGCGUGGACGAAGAAGCCCUUUUGGGGUGUAAAGUUCUGUCAGAGGGGACGAAGAAUUGACGGUACCCUCAGAGGAAGCAUCGGCUAACUCCGUGCCAGCAGCCGCAGUAAGACGGAGGAUGCGAGCGUUAUCCGGAAUCAUUGGGCGUAAAGAGUUCGUAGGCGGUGCAUCAAGUCUGAUGUUAUAGGCAGAGGCUUAACCUUUGUAUGGCGUUGGAAACUGAUGUGCUAGAGGACAGAAGAGGCAAGGGGAAUUCCCAGUGUAGCGGUGAAAUGCGUAGAUAUUGGGAGGAACACCGGUGGCGAAAGCGCCUUGCUGGGCUGUUCCUGACGCUGAGGAACGAAAGCCAGGGUAGCGAAUGGGAUUAGAUACCCCAGUAGUCCUGGCCGUAAACGAUGGAUACUAGGUGUGGCAGGUAUCGACCCCUGCUGUGUCGUAGCUAACGCGAUAAGUAUCCCGCCUGGGGAGUACGCACGCAAGUGUGAAACUCAAAGGAAUUGACGGGGGCCCGCACAAGCGGUGGAACAUGUGGUUUAAUUCGAUGCAACGCGAAGAACCUUACCAAGUCUUGACAUCUAUGGAAUUCCUGAGAGAUCGGGAAGUGCUAUCGUCAGAUAGAGCCAUAAGACAGGUGGUGCAUGGCUGUCGUCAGCUCGUGUCGUGAGAUGUUGGGUUAAGUCCCGCAACGAGCGCAACCCUCGUGGUCAGUUACCUCAGAUGAUCUAUUGUCUGAGUUCGGUCUGGCCAGACUGCCGGUGAUAAACCGGAGGAAGGUGGGGAUGACGUCAAGUCAGCAUGCCCCUUAUGACUUGGGCUACACACGUGUUACAAUGGGUAAGACAGCGAGCAGCCAACUAGCAAUAGUGAGCAAAUCUCAAAAACUUGCCCUUAGUUCGGAUUGCAGUCUGCAACUCGACUGCAUGAAGUCGGAAUCGCUAGUAACCGCAGAUCAGCAUGCUGCGGUGAAUACGUUCCCGGGCCUUGUACACACCGCCCGUCACACCACGGAAGUUGACCAUGCCCGAAGUCGGUGAGCUAACCAGCAAUGGGAGCAGCCGCC